AAGGAUGGCAGCAGGCGCGCAAAUUACCCACUCUCGGCUCGAGGAGGUAGUGACGAGAAAUAACGAGACUGUUCUCUUUGAGGCCGGUCAUCGGAAUGGGUACAAUUUAAACCCUUUAACGAGUAUCAAGCAGAGGGCAAGUCUGGUGCCAGCAGCCGCGGUAAUUCCAGCUCUGCUAAUACAUAGAAUUAUUGCUGCGGUUAAAAAGCUCGUAGUUGGAUUCGUAUCGGUACCUUGGAACCCUUCGGGUGUUUCUGGGUGUUAUCGAUUUAUCGUAAUGUUCGGUUUUGAGUCCUUAACAGGAUUUUUAACAGUCAUUGCAAGUUUACUUUGAACAAAUCAGAGUGCUUCAAACAGGCGUUUUCGCUUGAAUGAUCGUGCAUGGAAUAAUAGAAAACGAUUUCGGUUCAGUUUUAUUGGUUUUACGGACUGAGAUAAUGGUUAACAGAGACAAACGGGGGCAUUUGUAUGGCCCCGUGAGAGGUGAAAUUCUUGGACCGUGGCCAGACAAACUACAGCGAAAGCAUUUGCCAAGAAUGUCUUCAUUAAUCAAGAACGAAAGUCAGAGGUUCGAAGGCGAUCAGAUACCGCCCUAGUUCUGACCGUAAACGAUGCCAACUAGCGAUCCGCUGAUGGAAAUUAUAUUGCCUUGGUGGGGAGCUUCCCGGAAACGAAAGUCUUCCGGUUCCGGGGGAAGUAUGGUUGCAAAGCUGAAACUUAAAGGAAUUGACGGAAGGGCACCACCAGGAGUGGAGCCUGCGGCUUAAUUUGACUCAACACGGGGAAACUCACCCGGCCCGGACACUGUGAGGAUUGACAGAUUGAUAGCUUUUUCAUGAUUCAGUGGAUGGUGGUGCAUGGCCGUUCUUAGUUCGUGGAGUGAUUUGUCUGGUUUAUUCCGAUAACGAGCGAGACUCUAACCUACUAAAUAGUUGGUACAUACUCUUUGUGUAUACAGCUUCUUAGAGGGAUUUGCGGCGUUCAGCCGAAAGAAAUUGAGCAAUAACAGGUCUGUGAUGCCCUUAGAUGUCCGGGGCUGCACGCGCGCUACACUGGCAAAAUCAACGUGCUUGUCCUACCCUGAAAGGGGCGGGUAAACCAUUGAAAAUUUGCCGUGAUUGGGAUCGGAAAUU
rnacentral:rRNA from 1 species